GACGAACGCUGGCGGCGUGCUUAACACAUGCAAGUCGAACGGAAAGGCCCUGCUUUUGUGGGGUGCUCGAGUGGCGAACGGGUGAGUAAUACGUGAGUAACCUGCCCUUGACUUUGGGAUAACUUCAGGAAACUGGGGCUAAUACCGGAUAGGAGCUCCUGCUGCUUGGUGGGGGUUGGAAAGUUUCGGCGGUUGGGGAUGGACUCGCGGCUUAUCAGCUUGUUGGUGGGGUAGUGGCUUACCAAGGCUUUGACGGGUAGCCGGCCUGAGAGGGUGACCGGCCACAUUGGGACUGAGAUACGGCCCAGACUCCUACGGGAGGCAGCAGUGGGGAAUGUUGCACAAUGGGCGGAAGCCUGAUGCAGCAACGCCGCGUGCGGGAUGACGUCCUUCGAGCUGUAAACCGCUUUCGCCUGUGACGAAGCGUGAGUGACGGUAAUGGGUAAAGAAGCACCGGCUAACUACGUG
rnacentral:rRNA from 1 species